rnacentral:rRNA from 1 species
GAUGAACGCUGGCGGUAUGCUUAACACAUGCAAGUCGAACGGACUCUUCGGAGUUAGUGGCGGACGGGUGAGUAACGCGUGAGAAUCUGGCUUUGGGUUCGGGACAACCACUGGAAACGGUGGCUAAUACCGGAUGUGCCGAGAGGUAAAAGAGAAAUUGCCUGAAGAUGAGCUCGCGUCUGAUUAGCUAGUUGGGGAGGUAAAGGCUCACCAAGGCAGCGAUCAGUAGCUGGUCUGAGAGGAUGACCAGCCACACUGGGACUGAGACACGGCCCAGACUCCUACGGGAGGCAGCAGUGGGGAAUUUUCCGCAAUGGGCGAAAGCCUGACGGAGCAAUACCGCGUGAGGGAAGAAGGCUCUUGGGUUGUAAACCUCUUUUCUUAGGGAAGAACAAAAUGACGGUACCUAAGGAAUCAGCAUCGGCUAACUCCGUG